CACAUUCCCAUAACCACCUGAUGUGAAUUCCUGCAAGGGAGAGUGAAUUAUGGGCGCUUCCUGGGCUGGGUCAUGAGGAAACCACUAGAACCAUGCCAGUGAGUCACAGAAUGGUUUGGGUUGGAAGGGACCUUAAAGCUCAUCCAGUUCCACCCCCCUGCCACAGGCAGGGACACCUUCCACUAGACCAGGAUGCUCAAAGCCCCAUUCAGCCUGGCCUUGAACACUGCCAGGGAUGGGGCAGCCACAGCUUCUCUGGGCAACCUGUGCCAGGGUCUCAGCACCCUCACAGGGAACAACCUUUUCAUAAUACCUCAUCUAAAUCUCCCCUCUGUCAAAUAAUUUCUCUUGCGCUGUCCCUACAUGCCCUUGUAAAAUGACUUAACUCUCAUUCUACAGCAGCAACCAAACAAAAAGUUAACCUGGCUCUAAACUGUAUCUAAAUAAUAUUUACCCACAUGAAUCAAUUUUAAAACUUUCAUAUUGUAAUCCUCCUGGAAAUUUCAGUGACUGUUAAGAAAAAGACGCAAUCCAAAGCAGGAAGCAGCAACCCAGUAUGGUGACAGCCAAGCAAAACUCCAAGUGGAUCUUGGCAAUGACUGAAUAAUGGCACAAAAUACCAGUGCUGCCUCUUUGCUUAAGGCUCCUUCCCCUUCCAAGCCCCGCUACACUAAGGAAUUAGCUGCAUUUCUGUAAAGUUCCCUUGAAUUCCUUGAGUGUUACAGCUAACCAUGCUUCCCCUUCAUCUCAAAACAGAUCCUUUGAAGUCUUCCAGAGAUACCCAAGAAAGAAGACACAUCCAAAUACCUAGACUACCCCCAAACUCCACCCUGGAACAGAUGGCAGGGAUCAGCAAAGCAGCAGAGGAAGUAAAAUGAGUGAAGUGAUGCUAUGAUGGAGAUCAACAGGAAGUUUUGGCCACUAACUUGCAUUUCAGCUGAUGUGGUUUAACCAAGGGAAAUAAAGGACGAAAAAAGGCAGCUAAGCCUCCUCACUAUAAGGUCAGUAAAUCACAAUUCCUAAAUUCUUUUCUCCAUUUCAGGUUUUUUCUUUAGGGAAACAAAAUUAUCUUAAAAUUUACAAGAAAGCUAUGAGUACAAAGUUACUAAUGCUCUGCUCAGCAGAGAUCUUCAGAGGAGCCUAGAACUAAAAGAAUAUUUUAACAAAAUGCCAGAAACAGGAAUAAGUUACUGAAGGGAGAAUAAACCCAACACACUUGUGUUUCUAAGCACCUCAAUAAUGUUGUCAAUAAACCCAGAUGCAUCCUUUCCACAAAUGCAGCAGUGACAAUUGAUUCAAAUAGAUGACACUUCUGUAAUGUGUCUAUUUGACUCUCAAGCUGAAGCAGAUAAAAAUUCAAAGAUUUGACUUCCUUGGUAUUUGUAUGUUAAUACACACAGCUUUAGGGAAAUUGUUGCAACUCAACUUACAUUUCAUUCUGCACAGUGAGUGACAUUCAAGUACCUAACCGCAAGUUUCAUAGUGCUCCCAGUCAUAGCAUUCACAUCUCAUAGGCUGUCAUUAGCCUGAUGCAUUAUCUUUUUUGGAAAAAAAUCUGUCAUGAGCACCAGGCUCCCCUUGGUUCAGACAGGCAGGAGGAGAGCUGACUCAUCCUCUUUUUUCCCUUUCAUCCUGAUUUGUAUUGUCUCCUUUUCAAUUUAGUUUUCCCAUGUUAUAUAAGGAGAAGGAGACGGAGACUCCCGUUUUUACAAAAACUGGAAAGAUAAGGGGUGAUGGCACACGUUACUUCUGGGGAGAUUCCAGUUGGAUGCUAGAGGAAAAUUUUUCCCAGUGAGAACAACCAGCCAUUUGAAUAAUCUCCCCAGGGAAGUGGUGGAUUUCCCAACAUCGGAGACUGUUAAAGUUUGGCUGGACAGCGUGCUGGGCCAUCUAGUCUAGGUCAUGCUUUGCCUAAAAAGGUUGGAGAAGGUGACCCUUGAGGUUUCUUCCAACCUGGUAUUGUAGGAUUCUAUGAAGGGGUAUGGCUACAUGUAUGUAUAAUAUGUGUGCAUGUGCAAAGGACGACAAGAGAAAGAAUGUGUUUUGAACCUCCACCUAUUCCUCUUACAGUUCCUUUUUGCUUCCUCUCCUUGGAGGUAUUUUAUUAUGAAAUUCAAAUGAGUUCUCCUUUCUGUUGCUUUUGUUGAAAGAGAAAAAUAGGACAGAAAGCCAGCUAGGAGGAAACGUUCAUGAUCUGGAGUCCUUGGCCUUGCUGAAGUUUCUUGCUGUGUUUUUACAGAAAGUGGGUAAGCAGCUACACCUCGCAACAAGCCACUAAAGUUUCUCCAUCACCAGCCAGUUUUAACUAGGGCUGGUUUUGCCCAAACCACCACUGCACUUAAAACAAGUUUGACUGCAAAUAGAGACCUCCAUUCAUGGAACUGGGGUCUACCGAGGCAACAAGGGGGCCAUGCAUUGACUCUGGUUGAUCUUAUGACUGAGUUGGAAGAUCUCUCCCUCAUAGAGACUGUCUGAUACCCACUCAUGCAAACUGGAGCUGCACCUCUCCCCAAGGCUCAGCUUGACUGAAACAGGACAACAGGUUCAGAAGUUAUUGGGUUGAGCAAACAUCCAUAUAUGUGGAAUGGUAAGAAACCUGGGUGAGUCUGAGCCUCAUUUUGCAAAAAAACGACACAGAUGAUCAUAAGGGCAAAACAGGGGAGUGCCACCAUGGAUCCAAGCAGAGAUCCCAAGCAGUGAGCUAUCCACAGUGAAGAAACCAAAAGGUUUAGGUGUAGCCACCUGAAACAGUCAGUUAUUUGGAUGUACUCGGUAAUAGGCAAAUGUCUAAAAUAUCACAUUCAUAAAGAAACCUCUACCCCAGCUUCUUUCUUUAAGACUAAUGAAGGGCUGCAUCAGCCAGCACUAGAACAACACUAACCAAGGUCUCAGGGCAGCUGAUGCCAGACAGGACCACCCAUAGCAGAAUCGGAGGUUGCACCAGGCUCCCAGAGUGCUUCACCAAUAAGUCUGGGGUCAAACUACAGAAACACAGGAGAAAGAGAGCUGAGAUG